GAACGCGGGGCGUGCCUAAUACAUGCAAGUCGAACGCUUCUUUCCUCCCGAGUGCUUGCACUCAAUUGGAAAGAGGAGUGGCGGAUGGGUGAGUAACACGUGGGUAACCUACCCAUCAGAGGGGGAUAACACUUGGAAACAGGUGCUAAUACCGCAUAACAGUUUAUGCCGCAUGGCAUAAGAGUGAAAGGCGCUUUCGGGUGUCGCUGAUGGAUGGACCCGCGGUGCAUUAGCUAGUUGGUGAGGUAACGGCUCACCAAGGCCACGAUGCAUAGCCGACCUGAGAGGGUGAUCGGCCACACUGGGGACUGAGACACGGCCCAGACUCCUACGGGAGGCAGCAGUAGGGAAUCUUCGGCAAUGGACGAAAGUCUGACCGAGCAACGCCGCGUGAGUGAAGAAGGUUUUCGGAUCGUAAAACUCGUGUUGUUAGAGAAGAACAAGGACGUUAGUAACUGAAC
rnacentral:rRNA from 1 species